rnacentral:misc_RNA from 1 species
GAUGAAGAACGCAGCAAAAUGCGAUACGUAAUGCGAAUUGCAGAAUUCAGUGAAUCAUCAAAUCUUUGAACGCAAAUUGCGCUCUCGGGAUAGGCCUGGGAGCACGCCUCUUUGAGUAUCGUUUCAACCACAACUCGAAAGCGUUGCUUUAUUGCAUCGCUGACGGAGAAUGAGCGCUCUCGCGUUUGCGAGACGCUUGAAAUUGAGCGAGUGACUUGAUAUCUGUCGAAAGAUGGACUUCUGUCUGCGGUGACGAGGAUAACUUCACAUUCAAUUGUGAACCCUUCCAUCGUGACUGCUAGCCAGAGCUGUCUGCGAUAGCUGUCGCCCAGUCACGGCACAUCUGUGGUCAUCUGUUGUGGUGAACACAGAACUCCAUUUUGAACUAGAUCUCAAAUGAAGCGAGAAAACCCGCUGAACUUAAGCAUAUCAAUAAGCGGAGGA